AAAGAAAGAAAAGAAAAGAAAAAUAAAGUGUUGAGACUGGGAGUUGAACCUCAGCCAACAACAUCGAACAACAGGAAAAUAAAUCCUUUAUGAUAAAAGAAAAUCAUAGAAAACAUCUUAAACCUCUUUUCUAAGGAAGGUUGUAAGUUUUGAAAACAGGAAAAUUGAUUUUCAACUCUAUUUAAAAACACAUCCAAAUUUGAACAUGAAAUUCUAUUUUAAAAUUUUUAUUGAAAAAUUUUCCAGAAAACUAGUCUAGUUUUCUAGAAAUAAACACUCCCUCCAAUUUUCCAUGGUUAAACCUUAAUGCUCAACCUUUUGAAGUUGGUGAGCUAUAAGAAAACAAAUAACGCAUGGAACUUUAUUGCUUUAUGGGGAAGCAGGCAUCCUCCUUUAUAAGGUGAGGUUUCUCCCUUAAUUGCUACAAUCUUUUCAUGUGGGAAGUAUCUCACAAGUAUCUUCCAAAUGACUUGUGGGAUGCUUAUCCCACUGCAAUUUUGAAUGUGGAGAGGAACAAGGCCUCCACCUUUAUAAAAGGUCUUACCCCCUCUUAAUGUAAUAUGCUCUUUUCCUUGGAUGCACAUAAGCCCGUUGUUGUAGUGAUUCAUCCUUUCAACUUGCUGGUGUAUUUGGUUUACUCCAGUUAGCCAGAAAAGCCAAAACAAAAUAUUGAAACUGAGAUGCUUGGUUUCUAUAUUUAAAUGAUUGAUUUCAGUUAGUACAAAUUUCAAUCCAAGGAAUUCGGUUUAGGUUAGUUUUAUCUGUACAAAGUACAAACUUAUUCAUGCACGCCUAUAUUUACAGCUUACCUAUGGAAAUAAAUUAAAUCUGUUUACAAUGGUUCUUCUUUGUGAACAUGGCUUGUUUUUAAAAUUUUAAGGGCCUUAGACUUAAGUACGAAAACCCAUGCAAGGACUUUGCGCUAUUCACAUU
rnacentral:misc_RNA from 1 species